rnacentral:rRNA from 1 species
GUCGAGCGGAUGAGUGGAGCUUGCUCCAUGAUUCAGCGGCGGACGGGUGAGUAAUGCCUAGGAAUCUGCCUGGUAGUGGGGGACAACGUUUCGAAAGGAACGCUAAUACCGCAUACGUCCUACGGGAGAAAGCAGGGGACCUUCGGGCCUUGCGCUAUCAGAUGAGCCUAGGUCGGAUUAGCUAGUUGGUGAGGUAAAGGCUCACCAAGGCGACGAUCCGUAACUGGUCUGAGAGGAUGAUCAGUCACACUGGAACUGAGACACGGUCCAGACUCCUACGGGAGGCAGCAGUGGGGAAUAUUGGACAAUGGGCGAAAGCCUGAUCCAGCCAUGCCGCGUGUGUGAAGAAGGUCUUCGGAUUGUAAAGCACUUUAAGUUGGGAGGAAGGGCAGUAAGUUAAUACCUUGCUGUUUUGACGUUACCGACAGAAUAAGCACCGGCUAACUUCGUGCCAGCAGCCGCGGUAAUACGAAGGGUGCAAGCGUUAAUCGGAAUUACUGGGCGUAAAGCGCGCGUAGGUGGUUCAGCAAGUUGGAUGUGAAAGCCCCGGGCUCAACCUGGGAACUGCAUCCAAAACUACUGAGCUAGAGUACGGUAGAGGGUGGUGGAAUUUCCUGUGUAGCGGUGAAAUGCGUAGAUAUAGGAAGGAACACCAGUGGCGAAGGCGACCACCUGGACUGAUACUGACACUGA